rnacentral:rRNA from 1 species
AUUGAACGCUGGCGGCAGGCCUAACACAUGCAAGUCGAGCGAGCGGCGGACGGGUGUGUAAUGUCUGGGAAACUGUCCGAUGGAGGGGGAUAACUAAUGUAAAAGGUAUCUAAUACCGCAUACCAUCAGAUGUGUCCAGAUGGGAUUAGCUCGAAGGUGGGGGAACGGCUCACCGAGGCGACGAUCCCUAGCUGGUCUGAGAGGAGGACCAGCCACACUGGAACUGAGACACGGUCCAGACUCCUACGGGAGGCAGCAGUGGGGAAUAUGGCACAAUGGGCGCAAGCCUGAUGCAGCCAUGCCGCGUGUGUGAAGAAGGCCUUCGGGUUGUAAAGCACUUUCAGCGGGGAGGCGUUACCCGCAGAAGAAGCACCGGCUAACUCCGUGCCAGCAGCCGCGGUAAUUC